rnacentral:rRNA from 1 species
CCUACGGGAGGCAGCAGUGGGGAAUUUUGGACAAUGGGCGCAAGCCUGAUCCAGCCAUGCCGCGUGAGUGAAGAAGGCCUUCGGGUUGUAAAGCUCUUUCGGCAGGAACGAAAUGGUUCGUGUUAAUACCACGGACUGAUGACGGUACCUGAAGAAGAAGCACCGGCUAACUACGUGCCAGCAGCCGCGGUAAUACGUAGGGUGCAGGCGUUAAUCGGAAUUACUGGGCGUAAAGCGUGCGCAGGCGGUUUCUUAAGUCAGAUGUGAAAGCCCCGGGCUUAACCUGGGAACUGCGUUUGAAACUGGGAGACUUGAGUGUGGCAGAGGGGGGUGGAAUUCCACGUGUAGCAGUGAAAUGCGUAGAUAUGUGGAGGAACACCGAUGGCGAAGGCAGCCCCCUGGGUUAACACUGACGCUCAUGCACGAAAGCGUGGGGAGCAAACAGGAUUAGAUACCCUGGUAGUCCACGCCCUAAACUAUGUCAACUGGUUGUCGGGGGAUUGAUUCCCUUGGUAACGAAGCUAACGCGUGAAGUUGACCGCCUGGGGAAUACGGCCGCAAAGGGUUUAAAAACCUCAAAAGUAGUAGUACGGACGCGAGAGACGCGACGACGACGACGACGGAGGAGGAG